UUUGGCAAUGGUAGAACUCACACUGGUGAGCUAUGUAGAUCCGGUGGUUCUAGACUUGCCAACUA
rnacentral:pre_miRNA from 1 species